GACGAACGCUGGCGGCGUGCUUAACACAUGCAAGUCGAACGGAAAGGCCCUGCUUUUGUGGGGUGCUCGAGUGGCGAACGGGUGAGUAACACGUGAGUAACCUGCCCUUGACUUUGGGAUAACUUCAGGAAACUGGGGCUAAUACCGGAUAGGAGCUCCUGCUGCAUGGUGGGGGUUGGAAAGUUUCGGCGGUUGGGGAUGGACUCGCGGCUUAUCAGCUUGUUGGUGGGGUAGUGGCUUACCAAGGCUUUGACGGGUAGCCGGCCUGAGAGGGGGACCGGCCACAUUGGGACUGAGAGACGGCCCAGACUCCUACGGGAGGCAGCAGUGGGGAAUAUUGCACAAUGGGCGGAAGCCUGAUGCAGCAACGCCGCGUGCGGGAUGACGGCCUUCGGGUUGUAAACCGCUUUCGCCUGUGACGAAGCGUGAGUGACGGUAAUGGGUAAAGAAGCACCGGCUAACUACGUG
rnacentral:rRNA from 1 species